AGGCACUUAGUCCAAAAAAAGACCAUUAAUUUCGACUUAAUAAAUUAUGGUGAAAACCCAUAAGUGCCUU
rnacentral:tRNA from 1 species